AGUACCUCAUGAAGAAAUUGCUUUUUCACACAAUUUCUACAUCUUGCGGUGCACAGCUGUGACGGUUGGGUUGGCUCUGCAGCUGCUGGUGUUGGGACUACUUCAGUGGAAGCUGCAACUGGUGCUCAGUGUGCUCUUGCUUCUGACCUCACAUUUUCAGUGAAAUUGUGCCUUGAGAAGUGUUGAUGCUGUGAUCUGAGAGUCCUGCUCAUAAUGUGAUAGCUGCAAUAAUAACACAUUGUCCACCAGCCUCCUGCCAGUUUUCCAUAAGAAUUGGUAUAAUCUUCACAUGACUCUACAAGUGCAUAUUGUCAUAUGC